CUGGGCGAUUUUGCUCGCGCCGCGAAGACCACUGCGUUCGGGACGCAGGAGUCGGAGGUUCGAAUCCUCUCGCCCCGACCA
rnacentral:tRNA from 1 species